GACGAACGCUGGCGGCGUGCUUAACACAUGCAAGUCGAACGGAAAGGCCCUGCUUUUGUGGGGUGCUCGAGUGGCGAACGGGUGAGUAACACGUGAGUAACCUGCCCUUGACUUUGGGAUAACUUCAGGAAACUGGGGCUAAUACCGGAUAGGAGCUCCUGCUGCAUGGUGGGUGUUGGAAAGUUUCGGCGGCUUGGGUUGGACUCGCGGCUUAUCAGCUUGUUGGUGGGGUAGUGGCUUACCAAGGCUUUGACGGGUAGCCGGCCUGGGAGGGUGACCGGCCACAUUGGGACUGGGAUACGGCCCAGACUCCUACGGGAGGCAGCGGUGGGGAAUAGUGCACAAAGGGCGGAAGCCUGAUGCAGCAACGCCGCGUGCGGGAUGACGGCCUUCGGGUUGUAAACCGCUUUCGCCUGUGACGAAGCGUGAGUGACGGUAAUGGGUAAAGAAGCAACGGCUAACUACGUG
rnacentral:rRNA from 1 species